UACGGGGGGGGCAAGCGUUGUUCGGAAUUACUGGGCGUAAAGGGUGCGUAGGCGGCUUUCUAAGUUGGAUGUGAAAACUCUGGGCUCAACCCAGAGCCUGCAUCCAAAACUGGAGAGCUUGGGUUCUGGAGGGGAAAGCGGAAUUCCCGGUGUAGCGGUGAAAUGCGCAGAUAUCAGGAAGAACACCCGUGGCGAAGGCGGCUCUCUGGGACGGUACUGACGCUGAGACGCGAAAGCGUGGGGAGCGAACAGG
rnacentral:rRNA from 1 species